rnacentral:rRNA from 1 species
AAUUUUCGGCAAUGGGGGAAACCCUGACCGAGCAACGCCGCGUGAUUGAUGAAUGACUNAGGGUUNUNGAGCUCUGUUGUAAGGGNCGAACGGUAGGUAGCGGGAAUGCUCUCAAAGUGACGGUACCUUACCAGAAAGUCACGGCUAACUACGUGCCAGCAGCCGCGGUAAUACGUAGGUGGCAAGCGUUAUCCGGAAUUAUUGGGCGUAAAGGGUGCGCAGGCGGCAAUUUAAGUCCGUGGUAAAAGACUGAAGCUCAACUUCAGGUGGCCAUGGAAACUGGGUUGCUAGAGUGCAGGAGAGGGUAGUGGAAUUCCAUGUGUAGCGGUAAAAUGCGUAGAUAUAUGGAGGAACACCAGUGGCGAAAGCGGCUACCUGGCCCGUAACUGACGCUCAUGCACGAAAGCGUGGGGAGCAAAUAGG